rnacentral:rRNA from 1 species
AGUGGCGGACGGGUGAGUAACACGUAAGAAUUUGCCUUUAGGAGGGGGACAACAACUGGAAACGGUUGCUAAUACCCCAUAUGCUUUCGAGUGAAAUGGAUUUUUCCGCCUAAAGAGAAGCUUGCGGCUGAUUAGCUUGUUGGUGAGGUAAUGGCUCACCAAGGCGACGAUCAGUAUCUGGUUUGAGAGGAUGAUCAGACACACUGGAACUGAGACACGGUCCAGACUCCUACGGGAGGCAGCAGUGGGGAAUUUUUCGCAAUGGGCGAAAGCCUGACGGAGCAAUCUCGCGUGAGGGAUGACGGCCUAUGGGUUGUAAACCUCUUUUUUCAGGGAGGAACAAAAUGACGUGUACCUGAAGAAUAAGCAUCGGCUAACUCCGUGCCAGCAGCCGCGGUAAGACGGAGGAUGCAAGUGUUAUCCGGAAUCACUGGGCGUAAAGCGUCUGUAGGUGGUUUAAUAAGUCAACUGUUAAAUCUUGAAGCUCAACUUCAAAAUCGCAGUCGAAACUAUUAGACUAGAGUAUGGUAGGGGUAAAGGGAAUUUCCAGUGGAGCGGUGAAAUGCGUAGAUAUUGGAAAGAACACCGAUGGCGAAGGCACUUUACUGGGCUAUUACUGACACUCAGAGACGAAAGCUAGGGUAGCGAAUGGGAUUAGAUACCCCAGUAGUCCUAGCCGUAAACAAUGGAUACUAGAUGU